GGCGACGGGCGGUGGCAGCAGGACUAGCGAACAGCAGCAGCAAGAGACUUACAAAAUCCUGCUUCGCUCUCUUUGUUUUACGCGUCAACGGUCAACCGCCGUUCAAAUCGAAGUUAUUAACGGACGCAGGACGCCGGACGCCGCCAGUAUGGGACAACACGGACGUCCCGCGGACUCGGACGGAUGGCCUGGAUCUGGCGGUUAACAGGCUUCAAGCCGUCCGGUGACAUUUUGCACGACGAAAAAAGAUGCAAUCGUAAAAGUUCUGCAGUUUGGGCUUCAAGAUAGGCGGUGCUGGCAUCGUAUGAUAGAAAAUUUUGUAGCUAUAAUAUGUGAUAUGAUUGAUAACUAAUAAAUUAUGCAUAUUUUUAAAAUUUAAA